GGCGAGUGAAGCGGGAAGAGCUCAAGCUUGAAAUCUGGGGCGCUUGCGUCCACAGAAUUGUAGUUGAGAGAAGUGCUUUCACCGGGACGAGCGAUGGCCUAAGUUGCUUGGAACAGCACGUCAUAGAGGGUGAGAAUCCCGUCUGUGGUUGGUCGGUCCCUCGGAACGAUGCACUUUCAGAGAGUCGGGUUGUUUGGGAAUGCAGCCCAAAAUGGGUGGUAAACUCCAUCUAAAGCUAAAUAUUGCCACGAGACCGAUAGCGAACAAGUACCGUGAGGGAAAGAUGAAAAGCACUUUGAAAAGAGAGUUAAAAGCACGUGAAACCGUUGAAAGGGAAACGCGCUCGGCUAGCAAUGCGCGUCUGUGAUUCAGCCGGCUAGUCUUGCCGAGUUGCCGUGUGGCGGAUCCGAAUGGACUGUCGGCGGUAGCGGCGGUGGGCGAGCUAUGGUGCACUUCAUGGGCGCGCGCGUCAGCGUCGGUUCUCGACGGACGACAAGGUGCAUGGGGAAGGUAGCUCGGUCUUCGGACGGAGUGUUAUAGACCCGUGUGCUGGGUUCGUCGUGGGACCGAGGAGAGAGAUGAUCGCUGCGGCACCUGCCUCUCGGGGCUAGCCAGCUGUNGUCAGGUGUGCGCCAGGCGCCGAGGACUGCACGCAGUGCUUGGUGUUGAGGUGUAAUCUGGCGGUGGUGUGGGCAUAGAGGUGCCUAGGACGCUGGCGUCCAAAUGGCCGUGCACGACCCGUCUUGAAACACGGACCAAGGAGUCUAACAUGUGCGCGAGUCUUAGGGUGUGCAAGCCCUCGGGCGCAAUGAAAGUGAAGGUUCGGCGCUGGUCGAGCUGAGGUGAGAGCUACUGGUGGCCCGUUGCCACGGUGGCGCAUCAUCGGCCGGUCCAUCCUGCUCUCAGGGGGAUCCGAGCAAGAGCGUAUUUGUUGGGACCCGAAAGAUGGUGAACUAUGCCUGAAUAGGGUGAAGCCAGAGGAAACUCUGGUGGAGGCUCGUAGCGAUUCUGACGUGCAAAUCGAUCGUCAAAUUUGGGUAUAGGGGCGAAAGACUAAUCGAACCAUCUAGUAGCUGGUUCCCUCCGAAGUUUCCCUCAGGAUAGCUGGAACUCGUUCACACAGUUUUAUCAGGUAAAGCGAAUGAUUAGAGGUCUUGGGGGUGAAACACCCUCAACCUAUUCUCAAACUUUAAAUCGGUAAGAAGCGCGACUUGCUUAACUGAAGCCGCGCAACCAAUGUGAGUUCCAAGUGGGCCAUUUUUGGUAAGCAGAACUGGCGAUGCGGGAUGAACCGAACGCUCGGUUAAGGUGCCAAAGUCGACGCUCAUCAGACCCCAGANNNGGUGUUGGUUGAUAUAGACAGCAGGACGGUGGCCAUGGAAGUCGGAAUCCGCUAAGGAGUGUGUAACAACUCACCUGCCGAAUCAACUAGCCCUGAAAAUGGAUGGCGCUCAAGCGUCGCACCUAUACCGGGCCGUCGUCGUAAAUGCCAGGCGACGACGAGUAGGAGGGCGCGGUGGUCGUGAUGCAGCCCUUGGCGUGAGCCUGGGUCAAACGGCCUCUGGUGCAGAUCUUGGUGGUAGUAGCAAAUAUUCAAAUGAGAGCUUUGAAGACCGAAGUGGAGAAAGGUUCCAUGUGAACAGCAGUUGGACAUGGGUUAGUCGAUCCUAAGUGAUAGGGGAGCUCCGUAUCAAAGUGCGCAAUCGGUCUCGGCCGCCUUGCGCCACCUAUCGAAAGGGAAUCGGGUUAAUAUUCCCGAACCGGAAGGCGGAUAUUCUCUGGCUCUCGGGUCAGGAGCGGCAACGCUAGCGAACCGCGAGACGUCGGCGGGGGCUCCGGGAAGAGUUGUCUUUUCUUUUUAACGCAGUCGCCAUCCCUGGAAUCGGUUUGCCCGGAGAUAGGGUUGGCUGGCUCGGUAAAGCAGCACACUUCAUGUGCUGUCCGGUGCGCUCUCGACGGCCCUUGAAAAUCGC
rnacentral:rRNA from 1 species